rnacentral:rRNA from 1 species
UACGUAGGGUGCGAGCGUUGUCCGGAAUUAUUGGGCGUAAAGGGCUCGUAGGCGGUCUGUCACGUCGGGAGUGAAAACACGGGGCUUAACCCCGUGCCUGCUUCCGAUACGGGCAGACUAGAGGUAUGCAGGGGAGAACGGAAUUCCUGGUGUAGCGGUGAAAUGCGCAGAUAUCAGGAGGAACACUGGUGGCGAAGGCGGGUCUCUGGGUAGUAACUGACGCUGAGGAACGAAAGCGUGGGUAGCGAACAGG